ensembl:lncRNA
CACAUAGUUCAGGUGUCAAAAAUCCUAAGCAUGUAACACACUCAUCUUUAGUGAUAGGCACUUCCUUAGCCUUACCAGCUAUCUCUCGGAUCUAUUUGUAGGGCAAAAAAACAGUAUUAACACUUUUCCUUUGAGUAAUUCGCAAACUGAUUAUGAAUCCCCUGAGUUCCCCAGGGCUGGCAGCUCAACCCAAAAUUUCCUUCUCUGUGAGCUGGCUUGACUUUUUUUUCAUUCCUUUGGGUGUUUUUUGUUUUUUGUUUGUUUUUUUCCCUUCUAUCAGUCAGAUUCUGUAUCUUGACUGUUUAGAAGAACAAUUACUAGAGACAGCGGGAACUUUAAGCAAACAGAUUCGAUAUGAGAACUUGAUGAUGUUGAGGUUUGAAGGGUCAGGGGUAAAUCAGGCUGCCCAGACACUCUCCUCCUUUGCUUGCUGCCCCUGGUUGUUGGAUAAAGCCCCUCUCCACGAUUCCAUUUCCACUGUAUGAAAUGUAACCCAAUUAGCUGCUGCCCCAAAGAUCCAACUGCGGAUCACCAGGUUAGAGCAGCAGCUGGAGACCCCAGUUGUCGCCGGCAGCUGGAGUUAAGCAUCACUGUGACAACACAGGCAGCCCAACCUCUCUAUGGACCACGACGCAAAGGUUUUCUUGAAAUUCGUGAACACUUUUUCCAAGGAAAUUCCAGUGGACCCUCCCUAAGUUACCAAGAGCUCUUCCUCUUCCAGAGAGGUCUCAUCUCCCAGCUGCUUCAAAGACGCCUACAGUCCUGGAGGGAUUUUGUGUUAAAUGUCAUCCACUUGUCACAGGCUAUCUUUUCCUCUACAAAAGUCUGAAGCCCC